rnacentral:misc_RNA from 1 species
GAUGAAGAACGCAGCGAAAUGCGAUAAGUAAUGUGAAUUGCAGAAUUCAGUGAAUCAUCGAAUCUUUGAACGCACAUUGCGCCCCUUGGUAUUCCGAGGGGCAUGCCUGUUCGAGCGUCAUUACACCACUCAAGCUAUGCUUGGUAUUGGGCGUCGUCCUUAGUUGGGCGCGCCUUAAAGACCUCGGCGAGGCCACUCCGACUUUAGGCGUAGUAGAAUUUAUUCGAACGUCUGUCAAAGGAGAGGAACUCUGCCGACUGAAACCUUUAUUUUUCUAGGUUGACCUCGGAUCAGGUAGGGAUACCCGCUGAACUUAAGCAUAUCAAUAAGCGGAGGA